AGGUGAUGUUAAUUAGUCAGAGGCGUCUUUGAUUGGUUGACAGCAGCUGGCUCCUCAUUAUAAUAUUCAGUGUGUUCCAAGUAUUACCACAGGGAUUUGGACAGAGUCUUGUGGCCAUGGCAGCUGAAUUUGUGUUCAGGGCUUCUCUUCUCUUGGCCAUGAUGUGGUGUGCAUAUGGCCUCCCAGUCACAGGUUCUCAAUUUGGCGAACCACAACAAUCUCAGCCAGAUGAAAAUGGAAUGAUUCCUGAGUUCAGGCCAUUGACUAGCUGGAGAUUACAUCAACAUUUUAGCCAAGGUUGGCCAAAUUCUCCAAGCUCCACUGAGGUUCAGCAGCAAGAUCCACCUCAGGCCCCUGGAUUACAUCCACGGUCCAGCCAAGAUCUGUCUCAAAUGACGACCUCCGCUGAAGCCAAGGUCCCCAUGCCUAGUCAAAGGUCCCCAACUAGUUCUGGAUAUGAAAUGUUUAAGGAUGCCCCUGUAGCUUUCGAUUCUAGUGAACCACUUGAAGGCCAGUUGAAUCACUCUGCACCUGUUCAAGGAGUUCCUCAAGCAAGUCCAGUGGAACAAUGCCUGCUCCUGUUGAAACUUAUCCGUAAACAUCGUGGGAGUCUGAAUCAACCGAGAUGCUGUUUGAUCCUGGACAACCCAGUCCUAAGAUUCUAGUUCUAACAGGUCCAACACCUCCAGUACCAGAUGGCAAUGAAGUCCUGCAAGUACAGCUGCAGUGUGUUUCAAUGACCACUGAUCUGAGGUCAAAGUGUGGUGGGGCUGAAUGGCCUGAAGGUGGAUGUACCUUACAUUGGGGAAUUCCAUAAUGAAAGGACAGUCCUUGUACUAAAGAUCCCAAACACUUUGAUGUGAUUUCUAUCUGCCAUACCUGUUUGAACUUUGCAAAAGGCUAUUUUAAGUCUCAAUCUUCAGUUUUUAUUUAUUAUUCACACUGUUGAUCUUAAUGUUUAUUUGCAUUUAUUUCUUAUUAGAUAUCGACACCACUUCAACUCUGACCAUGUCUGUCCUAAUCCCUUUUAGUGCUCUUGUAAAAAUGAUUUGCACUGCCCCUUGUCAUUUUUUUUGUGGAGCACUCUAAAAUCUUAUACCCGUCAAUAUUUCACUCAAUGUCUGCUUUACCUUUUACGUAUCUGGCUGGUUGUGAAAGACUUUCCCAAACCAUUUAAACCAUGGUUUUCCUGUACUGUUUAAACCAUGCCAUUAAUAUACUAUAUUUUUACACUGCUACUGUUGAGCAAUUACACUUCUUGUGGAAAUGCAUCUCUAUAGUUCUUUCACACAUGCCUUUUGGUGUUACUGCUCGUAGCACUUUUGAGGUGCAAUAAUGGUUGCAAUUCUCUAGUAAUUGUCUUCAUCACUAAACUACAACUUCAUUAGGGCCGCUGCUAGAAAUAGCCUACGUCAGUGUACAAACACGUUCUCCUUGGUAGACUAUCAGGGUCAGGAAGUGUAUUUAAAGAACAUCUAUUGUUCCGUUGUUUCUUGCCAUUGCACUCCCUCUCCUAUCACCUUAUAGUGUGUUGGUGUUAGUGGAGACUGCAAAACAAAUUCAAAACAGGCAACUGCAGAAACAAUUGUGUGUGUGUGUAUAUGUAUGUGUGUAUAUAUAUAUAUAUAUAUAUAUAUUAUAUGUUUGUUCAACACUUUCCUGUGCACUGCUUUUAUUACCAUAUCUGAUCCGUGU
ensembl:lncRNA